GGUAGUUUUGAAGCGCCAGAGCUGCUUGGGAAAAGCAGUUGACGAGGUUGAGGUUCAUCGAAGUAUUCGGCGGAUGCCUCACGGCCACCCUUUUGGUCGUUACCGGGGGACAAAACCGGAAAGUGAUUUGCGGGACAAAUUCCUUUCGGAAAAAGGCU
rnacentral:ncRNA from 3 species